GAAACAUCUUAGUACCCGGAGGAAGAGAAAGAAAAUUCGAUUCCCUUAGUAGCGGCGAGCGAAACGGGAAGAGCCCAAACCAACAAGCUUGCUUGUUGGGGUUGUAGGACACUCUAUACGGAGUUACAAAGGACGACAUUAGACGAAUCAUCUGGAAAGAUGAAUCAAAGAAGGUAAUAAUCCUGUAGUCGAAAAUGUUGUCUCUCUUGAGUGGAUCCUGAGUACGACGGAGCACGUGAAAUUCCGUCGGAAUCUGGGAGGACCAUCUCCUAAGGCUAAAUACUCUCUAGUGACCGAUAGUGAACCAGUACCGUGAGGGAAAGGUGAAAAGCACCCCGGAAGGGGAGUGAAAUAGAACCUGAAACCGUGUGCUUACAAGUAGUCAGAGCCCGUUAAUGGGUGAUGGCGUGCCUUUUGUAGAAUGAACCGGCGAGUUACGAUUUGAUGCAAGGUUAAGCAGUAAAUGUGGAGCCGUAGCGAAAGCGAGUCUGAAUAGGGCGUUUAGUAUUUGGUCGUAGACCCGAAACCAGGUGAUCUACCCUUGGUCAGGUUGAAGUUCAGGUAACACUGAAUGGAGGACCGAACCGACUUACGUUGAAAAGUGAGCGGAUGAACUGAGGGUAGCGGAGAAAUUCCAAUCGAACCUGGAGAUAGCUGGUUCUCUCCGAAAUAGCUUUAGGGCUAGCCUCAAGUGAUGAUUAUUGGAGGUAGAGCACUGUUUGGACGAGGGGCCCCUCUCGGGUUACCGAAUUCAGACAAACUCCGAAUGCCAAUUAAUUUAACUUGGGAGUCAGAACAUGGGUGAUAAGGUCCGUGUUCGAAAGGGAAACAGCCCAGACCACCAGCUAAGGUCCCAAAAUAUAUGUUAAGUGGAAAAGGAUGUGGCGUUGCCCAGACAACUA
rnacentral:rRNA from 1 species